rnacentral:rRNA from 1 species
AACGAACGCUGGCGGCGUGCUUAACACAUGCAAGUCGAGUGCGCGUCUGUAGCAAUACAGAUGGCGCACGGCGCACGGGUGCGUAACACGUGGGUAAUCUGCCCUUCGAUGGGGAAUAACUCCGGGAAACCGAAGCUAAUUCCGCAUAACAUUCCUUGAACUUCGGUUUGGGGACUCAAAGCCGUAAGGCGUCGGAGGAGGAACCCGCGCACGAUUAGCUAGUUGGUAGGGUAACGGCCUACCAAGGCUUUGAUCGUUAGCUGGUCUGAG